GAAGGGACGGCUAACUCUGUGCCAGCAGCCGCGGUAAUACAGAGGUCCCGAGCGUUGUUCGGAUUCACUGGGCGUAAAGGGUGCGUAGGUGGUGAGGUAAGUCGGAUGUGAAAUCUCCAAGCUUAACUUGGAAACUGCAUUGGAAACUACCUUGCUUGAGGGUUUGAGGGGGGACUGGAAUUCUCGGUGUAGCAGUGAAAUGCGUAGAUAUCGAGAGGAACACCGGUGGCGAAGGCGAGUCCCUGGAAAACACCUGACACUGAGGCACGAAAGCUAGGGGAGCAAACAGG
rnacentral:rRNA from 1 species